rnacentral:lncRNA from 1 species
UGCAGUUCAUAUAAUGGGAGGUCGCAGAUGUCAUUUCCUCAUGUAAUGUUUUUCCAGUUAAUAUCUAUUUUCUUGUUUAUUAACCUAUUUUCUCUGUCAAAUCUUGCAGACCGGAAAAUAAAUCGCCAUCAUGAAAGUAGUUAAGGUUAGUUCCACAGAGAUAAAUGGUUCUACCGAUUUCUAUGUUGUAGAUUCUAUCGACUCUCUCCUAUCAGCAGAAUCGUUGUAAUUAUUCUAAAUGUGUGAUUUUCUGUAACAAGCUAGCAAAAUGAUAUAUUUAAGUAUAAUUUAUGGUAUUAGCUAACUAAGAGAAUUUUUUUAGAAGAGGAAAUAAUGUAGUGCAACUAAUUAUUGCUGGAGGACUCAAAAAGCUAAGUCCUGUUUACCUUAUACAGAAUAAGAAAGGUUACCCAUUUGAAUACGAAAUUGCCAUUGCAUGCCUAUGGCCACAAAAGACAGAAAUACAAAAUAACAAAGAAGUACCUUUAUCUGUAUGAUUAACAAACCAUAAAUGGUUCAGAGAAAGGCAACCAUCAAUUUCUCAAUCAGGUAGCCUAACCUUCGGAUAAGAGUUACAUUUUCAGGUGAUGCAAAUUUCUUGUGUUGUUUUGCAUUUCUGUCGCUGAUUCUUGUCUAAACCGGGGGUCGACUUUAAAAUUGUCAUUUCCUCAUGGACAAUUCUUUAGGUUCAUAGAUGAAGUUUUCCACGAGAACCUUUGCAAGCACUCCUGUCAUCACUCUGUCGAAUUGCAGGCUUAGGGAAAGGCAAGCAUAUUGCAGAUCCUGCCAUCGGAGGGAUGCAUCGAAUAACUGAGUGACUGAAGAAUUCUAUGGAAUGGAGUGGAAGCAGUGGCAUAUACUAGGGAAUGGAGAGUUCCCUACACUUAAGAGAUUUUUUAUUUUCUGAAUGAGAUGUCUGGUAGUAUAUUUAUGUAAAUUUCUAACAUAGUUUGUAUUUCUAUAAAUUGAAAUUUGUGUAAUUGAAUUGAUUUUAUGUGUAGGAACAUUUGGACAUGAAGUGGAGAGAAGUUGUGAAAAGUGAUAUAAUAAAAUGACAAACUAGAGCACGGAAGGCAGAGGGCGCGACACAGCACUCCUUUGCCGGCCAAAACGCUGCGAGGCCUCUGUGCCUUACUGCGCGAAGCCGUGGAAUGAAGAUUGUCUGAUCAGAUGUUGUCAAGGUUCAGAUGCCCCUCUCAACGUCAUGGACACAUAAGAUGACC